UACGGAGGGUGCAAGCGUUAUCCGGAUUCACUGGGUUUAAAGGGUGCGUAGGUGGGUUGGUAAGUCAGUGGUGAAAUCUCCGAGCUUAACUUGGAAACUGCCAUUGAUACUAUCAGUCUUGAAUAUUGUGGAGGUCAGCGGAAUAUGUCAUGUAGCGGUGAAAUGCUUAGAUAUGACAUAGAACACCAAUUGCGAAGGCAGCUGGCUACACAUAUAUUGACACUGAGGCACGAAAGCGCGGGGAUCAAACAGG
rnacentral:rRNA from 1 species